rnacentral:rRNA from 1 species
GACGAACGCUGGCGGCGUGCCUAAUACAUGCAAGUCGAACGAAGCUGUUUUAACUGGUGCUUGCACCGACUUAAACAACUGAGUGGUGAACGGGUGAGUAACACGUGGGUAACCUGCCCCAAAGCGGGGGAUAACAUUUGGAAACAGAUGCUAAUACCGCAUAACCACAGAAACCACAUGGUUUCUGUGUCAAAGAUGGUUUCGGCUAUCACUUUGGGAUGGACCCGCGGCGUAUUAGCUAGUUGGUAAGGUAAUGGCUUACCAAGGCAAUGAUACGUAGCCGAACUGAGAGGUUGAUCGGCCACAUUGGGACUGAGACACGGCCCAAACUCCUACGGGAGGCAGCAGUAGGGAAUCUUCCACAAUGGACGAAAGUCUGAUGGGGCAACGCCGCGUGAGUGAAGAAGGUUUUCGGAUCGUAAAACUCUGUUGUCAGAGAAGAACGUGUGCGAGAGUAACUGUUCGUGCAGUGACGGUAUCUGGCCAGAAAGCCACGGCUAACUACGUGCCAGCCGCCGCAGUAA